rnacentral:rRNA from 1 species
CUUAUGCAUGCAAGUCGAGCGAAGCUUUUCAGUAGUUUACUACAGAAAAUGACUGAGCGGCGAACGGGUGAGUAACGCGUGAGCAAUCUACCUUAGUUACAGGGAUAGCCCGAGGAAACUCGGAUUAAUACCUGAUAUUCUUUAAAUUUCGCAUGAAAUUAAAAGGAAAGGUCAGCCGAACUAAGAUGAGCUCGCGUUCUAUCAGCUAGUUGGUGAGGUAAAAGCUCACCAAGGCAACGACGGAUAGCUGGUCUGAGAGGACGAUCAGCCACACUGGGACUGAGACACGGCCCAGACUCCUACGGGAGGCUGCAGCAGGGAAUAUUGCGCAAUGAGCGAAAGCUUGACGCAGCGACACCGCGUGUGGGAUGACGGAUCUAGGUUUGUAAACCACUUUCAGGAGGGAAGAAAAUGACGGUACCUCCACAAGAAGCCCCGGCCAACUACGUGCCAGCAGCCGCGGUAAUACGUAGGGGGCGAGCGUUGUCCGGAUUUAUUGGGCGUAAAGAGCUCGUAGGCGGUUCAACAAGUCGGUCGUAAAAGUUCAGGGCUCAACCCUGAAAUGUCGAUCGAUACUGUUGUGACUAGGAUACGGUAGAGGUGAGUGGAAUUCCGAGUGUAGCGGUGAAAUGCGUAGAUAUUCGGAGGAACACCAAUUGCGAAGGCAGCUCACUGGGCCGCUAUUGACGCUGAGGAGCGAAAGCUAGGGGAGCAAACAGGAUUAGAUACCCUGGUAGUCCUAGCUGUAAACGAUGGAUACUAGACGUAGGAACUGGAUUGACGGUUUCUGUGUCGUAGCUAACGCGUUAAGUAUCCCGCCUGGGGAGUACGGUCGCAAGACUAAAACUCAAAGGAAUUGACGGGACCCCGCACAAGCGGCGGAGCAUGCGGCUUAAUUCGAUGAUACCCGUAGAACCUUACCUGGACUUGACAUAUAGGGUCAAGCUAU